UGCAAUCUAGUUAAUUUGGGGCGUUGUCAUUCAUGGUUUGUUGAAAGAGUAACUGGAAAUCAAGUCGUAUGCAUAUGUUUCAUGUGUGGAGAAGGAACCCUCUAACUAGCCUUUCACCAUUCUAUUUCAUCAAUUUCGUGAGUCUUUAAAGUUUGUUUACAAAGUUUAUGUUUUAAAAAUUCAAUUUCGUCAAAACCAAACCCCUUGCUUUUAAGUCUUGUUUUUAGAGUCAAAACUUGUUUCCUUUAAGUCUUUUGAGUCUUUUAAGUUUUAUUUUUGUCCAAAUCACUUGUUAGGUCUAGAAUUGAGUCUUUUUUAUUGUUAUUUGAUGUUUUGAGUGUUUUAAGUUAGUUUUGAGUUUAUAGAGUCUAGUUUAGUGUUUUUUAUCUUAUAUUUGUUGAUUAGCAUCCCUAGUUAAUCCCCGGUCUAGAACGAUCCCUACUUGCAUCAUUACUACAAUUGUCAUUAAUAGGGUUUAAUUUGUGUGUCAACUUAAUUUUCACAUCAAAUGGGUACUUACAUGAGAUGUAAAUGAGUAAGUGUACUCUCAUUAUCAUUGAUGCUAGCCAACAUCAUAUCAUUGUUAGGUGGGCUUGGUAAUAGUGAGCCUCCUAUACCCUACUAAUAGCUUCCUCCAAAACUCUCGAAUUCUGAUGAGGGAUAUGGAAUUUGCAAAAAUAGUGGGUGGUGCUAUUUGAUUUAAAGACCCAGAUCAAAUAGUUUAAAAUUAAUCAAUUUAUAUUUGUUAUAUAUUUAUUUACCGAUAUAUUUGCAAACGUUAUCCAAAACUUGACAAAGAAAAGUUGAAGGCUUUAGUUUCUGGACUUGGUACCACAAUCCCAUAGAUAGUCUUGAAUGGAUUGUAUAUGUACCUGGGUAGUCUCAUCCUCACAAUCUUCCUAUUGAUAAUGUAUCAUUAGAAGAACAUGUUAGAUAAGUCUAUCAUAAAGAGGACACUUUUAGUGUCAUAAUUCUUCCAUUACAAAUAGUUGUAUGAAGAAAUAAGAGUUGCUUUGAACAACCCUUAGUUAACACAAACACUAGGGCUUGUUUCUUUGUUAAAUGAACAAGGAACUUGAGAAGUAAGCAUGGACACUUUAUGUGCCAUGAUUCUUCACUUACAAAUUGUUGUAUGAAGAAAUGAGAGUUGCCUUGAACAAAUUCUUGGAAGUUUGUAAUCAUGUUUAGAGCAUAAUGGUUAACUGACAAAAAUAGUCCAUCAACAUGGACUUAUGAUGAUUUUGAAUCAUAGUGUUGAAGUGUUAAACCACUUCAGGAGACGAAAACUAGGCAAGGACUUCACCUUUGAGUCCCUAUCCAAAUGGUUCACUAAGUUUAUUGUAAAUUAUAUAGUGAACAAUAACCACACGCCUUCCAAAUCUUUUGAUGUGUAUAACACAAUUGAAAUAAGUUUCAAGAGAGAUAGUGGAAGUUUAAGGGAUCAUGACUAUUGUAGUCAAUGGAGAAGUCAAAUGAAGAAGGCAAAAUAACUCCAAGAGAACAAACUUUCUUUAUGAAAGGAUGGACAUUGGAAGGGUUAUUUGCAAGAAAUGUCUUGCAAGUGUCAAGAACACACCUUUUUAAGGUGUUGUAAAUUGUUCUUGAAAAGUUCAAAACAAUUGGUUUUUACUACUUGAAUGCUUGAUUUGGUAUUAGUAACUAUGUUUUACAAUCGUUGUAAAAGCGUGGCUAAUAAAAAGUAGAAGAUUAAUGAGAGAAGAGAAAGUACUUCACAUUCGGAACGUGAAUAAUAUAAAUCUCUGUGAAUGUAGAUAGUACUUACUUCCUCAUAUGAAUUACCAAAGAAAUUGGGAAAAUAAAGAUUGUCUUUACAUUCCAAUUUGAAUAAGGAACUUAAUUCCGUCACUAUAAGAGAUGGAUGAAUGUUUUGUUUGACAAAACAUUGUUCUUUAUUAAUGAAUGAUUGGAUUAUUGUAAUCUAAUUGAUUGUCUCUAUAGUAGAGAUGAUGUGUAAUGACCCGUCCCCAAUUAUUACAAUUUUAUAAAGUGAAUUUACGAAAAUGCUCUUCAAGGCAAAUGCAUUGACUUUUGUUGAUUGCCUUGUCCAGUUAUGUAAAAUUCAUUUUCUUGGUGUAUCCUCGUAGUACUUGUUGCAACGGAUGCAUGGGCGCAAACAGAUAGUGAUUUGGAGUUAUAACGAAGGAGAUAUUAAUGUUUAAAGUCAGGGGCAUUUUAGUAAAUUGGUUAUUUUCUAGAAAGCUCCAGAUUUUUGGAGCUUAAUCUGGAAUUAAAGAAAGAAGAAAUG
rnacentral:lncRNA from 1 species